ACUCAAAUGAAUAGACGGGGGCCCGCACAAGCAGUGGAGUAUGUGGUUUAAUUCGAAGCAACGCGAAGAACCUUACCAGGUCUUGACAUCCUAAGAAUCCUUUAGAGAUAGAGGAGUGCCUUUCGGGGAGCUUAGAGACAGGUGGUGCAUGGUUGUCGUCAGCUCGUGUCGUGAGAUGUUGGGUUAAGUCCCGCAACGAGCGCAACCCUUGUCAAUAGUUGCUACAUUAAGUUGAGCACUCUAUUGAGACUGCCGUUGAUAAAACGGAGGAAGGUGGGGAUGACGUCAAAUCAUCAUGCCCCUUAUGACCUGGGCUACACACGUACUACAAUGGCCAUUAACAGAGGGAAGCAAUAUAGUGAUAUGGAGCAAACCCCUAAAAAUGGUCUCAGUUCGGAUUGUAGGCUGAAACCCGCCUACAUGAAGUUGGAAUUGCUAGUAAUCGCGGAUCAGCAUGCCGCGGUGAAUACGUUCCCGGGCCUUGUACACACCGCCCGU
rnacentral:rRNA from 1 species